rnacentral:rRNA from 1 species
GGGUUGUGAGGUUAAGCGACUAAGCGUACACGGUGGAUGCCCUGGCAGUCAGAGGCGAUGAAGGACGUGCUAAUCUGCGAUAAGCGCCGGUAAGGUGAUAUGAACCGUUAUAACCGGCGAUUUCCGAAUGGGGAAACCCAGUGUGACUCGUCACACUAUCAUUAACUGAAUCCAUAGGUUAAUGAGGCGAACCGGGGGAACUGAAACAUCUAAGUACCCCGAGGAAAAGAAAUCAACCGAGAUUCCCCCAGUAGCGGCGAGCGAACGGGGAGGAGCCCAGAGCCUGAAUCAGCAUGUGUGUUAGUGGAAGCGUCUGGAAAGGCGCGCGAUACAGGGUGACAGCCCCGUACACAAAAGCGCAUGUGCUGUGAGCUCGAUGAGUAGGGCGGGACACGUGGUAUCCUGUCUGAAUAUGGGGGGACCAUCCUCCAAGGCUAAAUACUCCUGACUGACCGAUAGUGAACCAGUACCGUGAGGGAAAGGCGAAAAGAACCCCGGCGAGGGGAGUGAAAAAGAACCUGAAACCGUGUACGUACAAGCAGUGGGAGCCCCACCACUAAGCCAGUGGUGAACUCCACAUACGCAUCCUUUGCUGAGGAUACGGUUAACGGAGCGAAAGCGACGUUCAACCGCAAAAGAAGCAGAGGGGGCUUAGUGGUGGGGUGACUGCGUACCUUUUGUAUAAUGGGUCAGCGACUUAUAUUCUGUAGCAAGGUUAACCG